rnacentral:rRNA from 1 species
AUGAACGCUGGCGGCGUGCCUAAUACAUGCAAGUCGAGCGAACAGACGAGGAGCUUUCUCCUCUGACGUUAUCGGCGGACGGGUGAGUAACACGUGGAUAACCUACCUAUAAGUCUGGGAUAACUUCGGGAAACCGGAGCUAAUACCGGAUAAUAUAUUUAACCGCAUGGUUCAAUCGUUAAAGACGGUUUUUCUUUCACUUAUAGAUGGAUCCGCGCCGCAUUAGCUAGUUGGUAAGUUAACGGCUUACCAAGGCAACGAUGCGUAGCCGACCUGAGAGGGGGAACGGCCAAACUGGAACUGAGACACGGUCAAGAAUACUACGGGAGGCAGCAGUAGGGAAGCUUCCGCAAUGGGCGAAAGGCGGACGGAGCAACGCCGAGUGAGUGAUGAAGGUAUUCGGAUCGUAAAACUCUGUUAUUAGGGAAGAACAAAUGUGUAAGUAAAUAUGCACGUCUUGACGGUACCUAAUCAGAAAACCACGGCUAACUACGUG